AUACGUAGGGUGCGAGCGUUAAUCGGAAUUACUGGGCGUAAAGCGUGCGCAGGCGGUGGUGUAAGACAGAUGUGAAAUCCCCGGGCUCAACCUGGGAACUGCAUUUGUGACUGCAUUGCUGGAGUGCGGCAGAGGGGGAUGGAAUUCCGCGUGUAGCAGUGAAAUGCGUAGAUAUGCGGAGGAACACCGAUGGCGAAGGCAAUCCCCUGGGCCUGCACUGACGCUCAUGCACGAAAGCGUGGGGAGCAAACAGGAUUAGAUACCCUGGUAGUCCACGCCCUAAAAGAUGUCAACUGGUUGUUGGGAAUUUACUUUCUCAGUAACGAAGCUAACGCGUGAAGUUGACCGCCUGGGGAGUACGGCCGCAAGGUUAA
rnacentral:rRNA from 1 species